UACACACCGCCCGUCACACCAUGGGAGUUUGUUGCACCAGAAGCAGGUAGCUUAACCGCAAGGGGGGCGCUUGCCACGGUGUGUUUCGUGACUGGGGUG
rnacentral:rRNA from 1 species